GAAUGAGAGAGAGAGAGAGAGAGAGAGAGAGAGAGAGAGGUAGAUAAGAAGUGGCGCUGUUUGGCACUCGUAUUUCUUUCUUUCUUUCUCUCUCUCUUUUGUUU
rnacentral:miRNA from 1 species